GGCUCAGGAUGAACGCUGGCGGCGUGCUUAACACAUGCAAGUCGAACGAAGCACUUUAUUUGAUUUCCUUCGGACUGAAGAUUUUGUGACUGAGUGGCGGACGGGUGAGUAACGCGUGGGUAACCUGCCUCAUACAGGGGGGAUAACAGUUGGAAACGACUGCUAAUACCGCAUAAGCGCACAGUGCUGCAUGGCACAGUGUGAAAAACUCCGGUGGUAUGAGAUGGACCCGCGUCUGAUUAGCUGGUUGGUGAGGUAACGGCCCACCAAGGCGACGAUCAGUAGCCGGCCUGAGAGGGUGAACGGCCACAUUGGGACUGAGACACGGCCCAAACUCCUACGGGAGGCAGCAGUGGGGAAUAUUGCACAAUGGGGGAAACCCUGAUGCAGCGACGCCGCGUGAGUGAGGAAGUAUUUCCGGUAUGUAAAACUCUAUCAGCAGGGAAGAUAAUGACGGUACCUGACUAAGAAGCACCGGCUAAAUACGUG
rnacentral:rRNA from 1 species